UCCUACGGGGGGCAGCAGUGAGGAAUAUUGGUCAAUGGCCGCAGGGCUGAACCAGCCAAGUCGCGUGAGGGAUGACGGUCCUAUGGAUUGUAAACCUCUUUUGUCAGGGAGCAAAGGGCGCCACGUGUGGCGUUUUGCGAGUACCUGAAGAAAAAGCAUCGGCUAACUCCGUGCCAGCAGCCGCGGUAAUACGGAGGAUCCGAGCGUUAUCCGGAUUUAUUGGGUUUAAAGGGAGCGUAGAUGGGUUGUUAAGGCAGUUGUGAAUGUUUGC
rnacentral:rRNA from 1 species